rnacentral:lncRNA from 1 species
UCGAAAUCAAGCGGAACUCGUAUACACAAAUCGGAUUAAGAUUUUCGUGUUCCGUCAGCUCGAGAGAUACUUAGAAAUGAUGAUUUGAUAAUAGAAAAAGUUUGGUUCAAAAUUAAGAACAUUCAAUUUUAACCGGAAAAACCGUGUGCUGAAAGGCAUUUUGAACCAAAAAAACACAGGAGUUUUGAGUCACCUAUUUUGACCUAUGGUUUUUCCAUUUGUGUGUGUGUAAACACCUCCCAACAUCAACAUCUUUAUGAAAUCAUGUUUCAACCUUCUAACAUAUUUGAAGGUGUGCUUGAACCAUUCCAAUCGAAAAAUAUAAAAACAAAAAUAAAAAAAGAAUUCGAACCUUCUUAUAUAUAUAUAUGUAGAGCUUCUCAGCUGGGGACGUCUGUAUUUAUUCUUACGCUGCAGAUUUCCACUUUACACUUCUUUUUUAAUCGAAUUUUCACAUCUCUACCGCCUAAUAUUUAGAUACAAUUUAAUAGAUCAUCUCUGUAAAAUUUUAAUCAAUUUUGUUAAAAUUAAGGCACUCCAAAAAGCAUUAUUCUGUUAUAAAUAUGAACGGUUAAAGUUACACAGAAUUAUGUAUAUCCCUAAACCCUAAACCUUAAACCUGAAUCACCCUAAACCCUAACCCUAAACCCUAAACCCUAAACCUAAAUAAUCCUAAACCCUAACCCUUGAAUUGCCCUAACCCUAAUUAACCCUAAACUCUAAAAUACCCUAAACCCUGAAUUACCCUAAACCCUAAUUUACCCUAACCCCUAAAUUACCCUAACCCUAAACCCGAAUCACCCUAAACCCUAAACCUGAAUAACCCUAAACCCUAACCGCUGAAUUGCCCUAACCCUAAUUAACCAUAAACUCUAAUAUACCCUAGACCCUGAAUUACCCAAAACCUUAAACCUAAUCACCCUAAGUCCUAACCCCAAACCCUAAAUCUGAAUAACCCCACACCCAAACCUCUAAAC